rnacentral:rRNA from 1 species
AGCGAACGCUGGCGGCAGGCCUAACACAUGCAAGUCGAACGAACCUUUCGGGGUUAGUGGCGGACGGGUGAGUAACACGUGGGAACGUGCCUUUAGGUUCGGAAUAACUCAGGGAAACUUGUGCUAAUACCGAAUGUGCCCUUCGGGGGAAAGAUUAAUCGCCUUUAGAGCGGCCCGCGUCUGAUUAGCUAGUUGGUUGAGGUAAUGGCUCACCAAGGCGACGAUCAGUAGCUGGUCUGAGAGGAUGAGCAGCCACAUUGGGACUGAGACACGGCCCAAACUCCUACGGGAGGCAGCAGUGGGGAAUCUUGCGCAAUGGGCGAAAGGCUGACGCAGCCAUGCCGCGUGAAUGAUGAGGGUCUUAGGAUUGUAAAAUUCUUUCACCGGGGACGAUAAUGACGGUACCCGGAGAAGAAGCCCCGGCUAACUUCGUG